rnacentral:rRNA from 1 species
AUGAACGCUGGCGGCAUGUCUAAGGCAUGCAAGUUGAACGGAUUGUUGAUCUUCGGAAAAAUAAUUAGUGGCAAACGGGAGCGGAACACAUUGGUAACCUACCUCGAACUCGUGAAUAACUAUUGGAAACGAUAGCUAAUACACGAUAUGGAUGAAUUGACUUCGGUCAUUUCAUUGAAAGAUUUAUCGGUUCGAGAGGGGCCUAUGUCCUAUCAGCUAGUUGGUGAGGUAAUGGCUCACCAAGGCUACGACGGGUACCGGGCGUGAGAGCGUGGCCCGGCUCACUGGGACUGAGACACUGCCCAGACUCCUACGGGAGGCUGCAGUCAAGAAUCUUCCGCAAUGCACGAAAGUGUGACGGAGCAAUGCCGCGUGCUCGAAGAAGGCCUUCGGGUCGUAAAGAGCUUUUAUAAGGGACGAACAAAUGACGGUACCUUAUGAAUAAGAGGUUGCUAACUCUGU